UGCUUUUCGGAGCUCUUUGAUGAUUCAUAAUAACUUUUCGAAUCGCAUGGCCUUGUGCUGGCGAUGGUUCAUUCAAAUUUCUGCCCUAUCAACUUUCGAUGGUAGGAUAGUGGCCUACCAUGGUUUCAACGGGUAACGGGGAAUAAGGGUUCGAUUCCGGAGAGGGAGCCUGAGAAACGGCUACCACAUCCAAGGAAGGCAGCAGGCGCGCAAAUUACCCAAUCCCGACACGGGGAGGUAGUGACAAUAAAUAACGAUACAGGGCCCUUUCGGGUCUUGUAAUUGGAAUGAGUACAAUGUAAAUACCUUAACGAGGAACAAUUGGAGGGCAAGUCUGGUGCCAGCAGCCGCGGUAAUUCCAGCUCCAAUAGCGUAUAUUAAAGUUGUUGCAGUUAAAAAGCUCGUAGUUGAACCUUGGGUUUGGUUGGCCGGUCCGCCUUUUUGGCGAGUACUGGACCCAACCGAGCCUUUCCUUCUGGCUAACCUUUCGCCCUUGUGGUGUUUGGCGAACCAGGACUUUUACUUUGAAAAAAUUAGAGUGUUCAAAGCAGGCCUUUGCUCGAAUAUAUUAGCAUGGAAUAAUAGAAUAGGACGUUAUGGUUCUAUUUUGUUGGUUUCUAGGACCAUCGUAAUGAUUAAUAGGGACGGUCGGGGGCAUCAGUAUUCAAUUGUCAGAGGUGAAAUUCUUGGAUUUAUUGAAGACUAACUACUGCGAAAGCAUUUGCCAAGGACGUUUUCAUUAAUCAAGAACGAAAGUUAGGGGAUCGAAGAUGAUCAGAUACCGUCGUAGUCUUAACCAUAAACUAUGCCGACUAGGGAUCGGGUGUUGUUC
rnacentral:rRNA from 1 species